UGAGUAGUUCUCAUCAGAAGGUAAUAAUGGGGAAAAAGAAUAAAUAAACAGAAGUGGGAUUCUCUUUGUAGAGAGAUGAAAAUCAGAGAGAUGUACUAAAUGGAGGUGAAAUCUGUUCUAUUACAGGGGGAAAUAUAUCCAGAGAAAUUAGUAAAAUUAAAAGGGUUAAGUCAGUGGACUCACAUACUAGACACUAAGACAUGGAAAACCUGACAGACUUCUACCUAUGAGGUGAUUGGAUCAUGUGGGUGGUUUCUCAUGAAUGGUUUAGCACCACCGCCUUGAUGCUAUUCUCACGAUAGUGAGUGAGUUUUCACGAGAUCUGGUCAUUUAAAAGUGUGUAGCACCUCCCCCUAUCUCUCUUGCUCCUGCUCUGCCACGUAGAAGUGCCUGCUUCCGCAUUGCCUUCUGCCAUGAUCAUAAGUUUCCUGAGGCCUCUCCAGAAGAGGAAGCCCCUGUGACUCCUGCAAAACCUGCAGAACAAUGAGCAAAUUAACCUUCUUUUCUUUAUAAAUUACCCAGUCUCAGGUAUUUCUUUAGAGCAGUGUGAGAAUGGGUUAAUACAGUGUCUUAAUAAAAGCACUCAGUGUAUAAGGGUAUUCAAUAAGUGACUUCUUAUUUUUUGUGUGUCUGUGCACAAUUGCCUAUGGCACUAGCUCAGCACUAGCUUGUACGUGGUAGGCCCUCAAUAUAUAGCAAGUGAUUAUGGUGAUUAUUUAAUAUCUUUGUGUGUAUCUGUGUCCCAUGUCAUCGGACACUGGCUAGUACACAGUAGCACUCAAUGAAUAUUUGUAGAUAAUAAACGUAUGUUUGAACUGCUUGAUUAAUAGCUCAUAACAUGUAAUAAUCCAUUUGUUGUGUGUUUUUUACUAAAAAAUAGACUGCUGCUCUGCCCACAAAGAAUUCCAGAGCAUGCUCUUUGACUGGAGGUCUGUCUCACUUCUAUGGGUAGAACAUACCUGGAUCAAGUACUGGUACGAUGUGUUUGGAACAAAAGAUCUGUUAUCUGUUCCUGUUCCCCUACGGAUAGGAAAGAAAUGAAACUCUAGAUGAUCUUUC
rnacentral:lncRNA from 1 species